UACUUAUUGAUAUACUUCCACAUUGGGCUGUACCUUCCUCAGGUGUCAAAUGUCCUAUCCUCUUGGGGGGCGGGGCGGCGGACGCGGUUUUCAUGUUGGGACCAGGGCCCUCCGGUUCCACCGGGAUCUUGACCGGGGCAUCCUCUUCUGCUUCGGCCCCCGAGGUUUUGGUUUUACCAGAGGGUGAAGUAGACCAAGAGACUAUUUGGAACACUAUGGAGGAA
rnacentral:lncRNA from 1 species